CCUACGGGCGGCAGCAGUGAGGAAUUUUGCGCAAUGGGGGCAACCCUGACGCAGCAACGCCGCGUGAGUGAUGAAGGCCUUCGGGUCGUAAAGCUCUGUCAGAGGGGAAGAAAUGCAGGUGGUGAACAACCAUUCUGUUUGACGGUACCCUCAAAGGAAGCACCGGCUAACUCCGUGCCAGCAGCCGCGGUAAUACGGAGGGUGCGAGCGUUGUUCGGAAUUAUUGGGCGUAAAGCGCGUGUAGGCGGUUUUUUAAGUCUGAGGUAAAAGCCCCGGGCUCAACCUGGGAAGUGCAUUGGAUACUGGCAGACUUGAGUACGGGAGGGGAUGGUGAAAUUCCCGGUGUAGAGGUAAAAUUCGUAGAUAUCGGGAAGAAUACCGGUGGCGAAGGCGACCAUCUGGCCCGUUACUGACGCUCAGACGCGAAAGCGUGGGGAGCAAACAGGAUUAGAUCCCCUGGUAGU
rnacentral:rRNA from 1 species